CGACCGGCGGACGGGUGCGUAACGCGUAUGCAACCUGCCUGACACAGGGGGAUAAUCCGAAGAAAUUUGGUCUAAUACCCCAUAAUACCGAUAUAGGCAUCUAUGUUGGUUGAAAGCUUUGGUGGUGUCAGAUGGGCAUGCGUUGUAUUAGCUAGUUGGUGAGGUAACGGCUCACCAAGGCGACGAUACAUAGGGGGACUGAGAGGUUAACCCCCCACACUGGUACUGAGACACGGACCAGACUCCUACGGGAGGCAGCAUUG
rnacentral:rRNA from 1 species